rnacentral:rRNA from 1 species
GGUCAAGCGAUGAAGCGCAUACGGUGGAUGCCUUGGCAGCCAGAGGCGAUGAAGGACGUGGAAGCCUGCGAUAAGGCUCGGCGAGGUGGCAAACAACCUGCGACCCGGGCAUUUCCGAAUGGGGAAACCCACUCAGGGUAACCUGAGUAUCCUGUACUGAAUCCAUAGGUGCAGGAGGCGAACCGGGGGAACUGAAACAUCUAAGUACCCCGAGGAAAAGAAAUCAACCGAGAUUCCCCCAGUAGCGGCGAGCGAACGGGGACUAGCCCUUAAGCGGGUGACAGGUUAGGCGAAUGAGUUGGGAAACUCAGCGAUACAGGGUGAUAGCCCCGUAGUCGAAAGCCUGAUCCCGUGAAAUCGAGUAGGUCGGGGCACGUGAAACCUUGACUGAAGACGGGGGGACCAUCCUCCAAGGCUAAAUACUCCUGGCUGACCGAUAGUGAACCAGUACCGUGAGGGAAAGGCGAAAAGAACCCCGGAGAGGGGAGUGAAAUAGAUCCUGAAACCGUAUGCGUACAAGCAGUGGGAGCCCCUUCGUGGGGUGACCGCGUACCUUUUGUAUAAUGGGUCAGCGACUUAUUUUCAGUGGCGAGCUUAACCGUAUAGGGGAGGCGUAGGGAAACCGAGUCUUAACUGGGCGACCAGUCGCUGGAAAUAGACCCGAAACCGGGCGAUCUAUCCAUGAGCAGGUUGAAGGUUGAGUAACAUCAACUGGAGGACCGAACCAGGAUCUGUUGAAAAAGAUUUGGAUGACUUGUGGAUCGGAGUGAAAGGCUAAUCAAGCCCGGAGAUAGCUGGUUCUCCUCGAAAGCUAUUUAGGUAGCGCCUCACGUAUCACCGCCGGGGGUAGAGCACUGUUUCGGCUAGGGGGUCAUCCCGACUUACCAACCCGAGGCAAACUCCGAAUACCGGUGAGUGCAGCGUGGGAGACACACAGCGGGUGCUAACGUCCGUUGUGAAAAGGGAAACAACCCAGACCGUCAGCUAAGGUCCCGAAAUCCUGGUUAAGUGGGAAACGAUGUGGGAAGGCUUAGACAGCUAGGAGGUUGGCUUAGAAGCAGCCAUCCUUUAAAGAAAGCGUAAUAGCUCACUAGUCGAGUCGGCCUGCGCGGAAGAUGUAACGGGGCUCAAACCAGGUACCGAAGCUACGGGUGUGUCGAAUGACACGCGGUAGAGGAGCGUCGUGUACGCCGACGAAGGUGUGUCGAGAGGCAUGCUGGAGGUAUCACGAGUGCGAAUGCUGACAUGAGUAACGAUAAGGGGAGUGAAAAACUCCCCCGCCGGAAGACCAAGGGUUUCUGUUCGACGCUAAUCGGAGCAGAGUGAGUCGGCCCCUAAGGCGAGGCCGAAAGGCGUAGUCGAUGGGAAACGGGUCAAUAUUCCCGUACCUCACUGUAUUGCGAUGGGGGGACGAAGAAGGCUAGGUGAGCCAGGCGUUGGUUGUCCUGGUGAAAGUCAGUAGGCUNNNNNNNNNNNNNNNNNNNNNNNNNNNNNNNNNNNNNNNNNNNNNNNNNNNNNNNNNNNNNNNNNNNNNNNNNNNNNNNNNNNNNNNNNNNNNNNNNNCGCCGAGAGACGAGACGAACAGACUACGGUCUGGAAGUCAUCGAUGCCACGCUUCCAGGAAAAGCCUCUAAGCUUCAGAUACAGUGGGACCGUACCCCAAACCGACACAGGUGGUCAGGUAGAGAAUACCCAGGCGCUUGAGAGAACUCGGGUGAAGGAACUAGGCAAAAUGGUGCCGUAACUUCGGGAGAAGGCACGCCGCACUAGGGUGACAGGACUUGCUCCUCGAGCCCGACGCGGUCGAAGAUACCAGGUGGCUGCAACUGUUUAUUAAAAACACAGUACUCUGCAAACGCGUAAGCGGACGUAUAGGGUAUGACGCCUGCCCGGUGCCGGAAGGUUAAUUGAUGGUGUUAGCUCACGCGAAGCUCCUGAUCGAAGCCCCGGUAAACGGCGGCCGUAACUAUAACGGUCCUAAGGUAGCGAAAUUCCUUGUCGGGUAAGUUCCGACCUGCACGAAUGGCGUAAUGAUGGCCACGCUGUCUCCACCCGAGACUCAGUGAAAUUGAAAUCGCAGUGAAGAUGCUGUGUACCCGCGGCUAGACGGAAAGACCCCGUGAACCUUUACUACAGCUUCACACUGGACGCUGAUGUUGCUUGUGUAGGAUAGCUGGGAGGCUUGGAAACCCGGUCGCCAGAUCGAGUGGAGCCAACCUUGAAAUACCAGCCUGGCAUCAUUGGCGUUCUAACUCAGGUCCGUGAUCCGGAUCGAGGACCGUGUGUGGUGGGUAGUUUGACUGGGGCGGUCUCCUCCCAAAGCGUAACGGAGGAGCACGAAGGUACCCUCAGCACGGUUGGAAAUCGUGCAAUGAGUGCAAGAGCAUAAGGGUGCUUAACUGCGAGACAGACACGUCGAGCAGGUACGAAAGUAGGUUCUAGUGAUCCGGUGGUUCUGUAUGGAAGGGCCAUCGCUCAACGGAUAAAAGGUACUCCGGGGAUAACAGGCUGAUACCGCCCAAGAGUUCACAUCGACGGCGGUGUUUGGCACCUCGAUGUCGGCUCAUCACAUCCUGGGGCUGAAGUCGGUCCCAAGGGUAUGGCUGUUCGCCAUUUAAAGUGGUACGCGAGCUGGGUUUAGAACGUCGUGAGACAGUUCGGUCCCUAUCUGCCGUGGGCGUUGGAGAUUUGAGAAGCGCUGCUCCUAGUACGAGAGGACCGGAGUGGACGUACCUCUGGUGUUCCGGUUGUCACGCCAGUGGCAUCGCCGGGUAGCUAUGUACGGACGGGAUAACCGCUGAAAGCAUCUAAGCGGGAAGCCCCCUUCAAGAUGAGAUCUCCCUGAGGCCUCGAGCCUCCUGAAGGACCCAGCAAGACCAGCUGGUUGAUAGGUCGGAUGUGGAAGCGCUGCAAGGCGUUGAGCUAACCGAUACUAAUUGUCCGUGAGGCUUGACCAU